rnacentral:rRNA from 1 species
AAUGAACGCUGGCGGCAGGCCUAACACAUGCAAGUCGAACGAAAGCAGCGGGCCUGCUGCUGCAUGGGUGGGUAGAGGGGGGGGAAAUGCCCAUGGAUCUGCAUGAACGCGGGGGAUGAGGUGCGAAUACGGGCGCUUAUACUGCAACCGACGAGUUGGCGCCUGUGGGGGAGCCUGGGAUCGCUCGCUCUCAUGGGAGGCUAGGUCGGAUUAGCUAGUUGGUGGGGUAAUGGGCUACAAAGGAGACGAACCGAAACUGGUCUGAGAGGACGAUCAGACACCCUGGAUCUGAGACACGGCACAGACUCCUACGGGAGGCAGCAGUGCGGAAUAUUGGACAAUGGGCGAAAGCCUGAUCCAGCCAUGCCGCGGGUGUGAAGAAGGUCUUCUGCUUGUAAAGCGCUUUAGGUCGUAAGGAAGGACAGCAAGUUAAUACCUUACGAUUAUGACGUUACCGACAGAAUAAGCACCGGCUAACUUCGUG